rnacentral:rRNA from 1 species
AGGCUAAUACGUGACACAGAACCUSCCGMCUGGGSUUCGGUUCGGGAAGCGGGGGAUGUGCGACUAUCGGGCCAACAAAACCGGAAAGAGCGCACGUUCAGACCACCUAAAAAGGMUUCGGGUCCCUCGGGAUCCGGGGUUGUGGCUCUUGCAGCGUGCUUCUGACCUAUCAACUAGACGGCAGCCUAAGGGACAUGCUUUGGUGACAACGGUAC